rnacentral:lncRNA from 1 species
CUUUCACAUCUGAAAUCAUACAAUACUAUCCCAAGAAUGAGGUCGAACCACGCCGCCAUGUUUCUGGCUAGAAUUUUGUCAAAUUCUUCAUCUAAAUUCUCCACUUUUGCCAUCGCUUCUCCACAUUAUCAAUCAUUUCUUGUACCCAGUUUUCAUUUUGAUAAUGCCAGCUGCCAAAUGAGACACUUCUCCGCCUAUCCCAGAUUCGAUUUUGGAUCUAUACGUGAGCCCAACGAUGC